GGGGCUGAUUUAGGUUUCGACUCCGUACAUUAAGCCAGGGGAAGCGUGCCGGUGCAGGCUAGAGACCACCGUUAAGCGUCGCAGCAAAAAAUAAGCGCAGAGAAUACUCAGCGCGACUACGCCCUCGCUGCCUAAUUCAGCGACCGCGUGUCUGUCAGCCUAGGUUCCGUCCUUGGCCUAGAAUCUGGCAUCGUUGAAAGGACUUGCCGCCGCAUCGUGUUGACGGGGUGCAGCGGGACACUUACCGACAACUGGGCCUAUCAUCCGGACAUGUUCGUCUGAUCCGGAGGGCCGAGCAGAGAUCACGUGCGAACUGCGCACGGAGAAGUCCUGGCAAAAUGACGAAGGACCCGGGUUCAAUUCCCGGCAGCUCCACUA
rnacentral:tmRNA from 1 species